rnacentral:rRNA from 1 species
GGCGGACGGGUGAGUAACGCGUGGGGAACCUGCCCUGUACCGGGGGAUAGCAGCCGGAAACGGCUGAUAAUACCGCAUAAGCGCACGAAUGUCGCAUGACAUGGUGUGAAAAACUCCGGUGGUAUAGGAUGGACCCGCGUCUGAUUAGCCGGUUGGUGGGGUAAAAGCCUACCAAAGCGAAGAUCAGUAGCCGAGUUGAGAGACUGACCGGCCACAUUGGGACUGAGACACGGCCCAGACUCCUACGGGAGGCAGCAGCC